rnacentral:rRNA from 1 species
UACAGAGGAGCCAAGCGUUGUCCGGAUUGACUGGGCGUAAAGCGCACGCAGGCGGGUGCGCGCGUGGGGUGUGAAAUCUGGCCGCUUAACGGCCAGGCGCCAUCCCAUACGGCGCGCCUGGAGCCUUGCAGAGGGCGGUGGAACUCCUGGUGUAGUGGUGAAAUGCGUAGAUAUCAGGAAGAACACCCGUGGCGCAAGCGACCGCCUGGCCGAGUGCUGACACUGAGGCACGAAAGCGUGGGGGAGCGAACCGG